rnacentral:lncRNA from 1 species
CAAACAAUCGUUUAUUCUCUCUGCCACCUGCUGGGCUGUGAGGUGCUCAUUUUUUUCAUAACUACUUCUGGUUGCUUAAGGUUAUCCGCACCGCUGGACUGCAAAGAAAACGCAACUAUAAAUUUGGAGGUGAGACCCCCGCAGUGCAACCCUCUAUCGCACCCUCUACAAUUCCGUUUGCUACAACAAACCUCCAAACUCGGAGGUGGAGAGAGGAACGCUAUCCUCAACCAUCGCGGCGCGAAGCAACCGUCGCGGCCGGAUCCGUGCGUUGGAGGCGGGGAGGAGGGAGCCGUGGCCGCCAACGGGGAGGAGGCACUAGC